rnacentral:rRNA from 61 species
CAAAUGACUCUCGGCAAUGGAUAUCUCGGCUCUUGCAUCGAUGAAGAACGUAGUGAAAUGCGAUACUUGGUGUGAAUUGCAGAAUCUCGUGAACCAUUGAGUCUUUGAACGCAAGUUGUGCCCGAGGCCUUGUGGCCGAGGGCACGCCUGCUUGGGCGUCAUGG